rnacentral:ribozyme from 1 species
CUCUGUCUCAUUCGUUGAAUUAUUUAGCAGGAUACAUUCGUGAGUUGAAUGGAUUGCAAUCCAAGACUGUAAUGGAGGCUUAUGAUGAGCUGUCGUCAACAACAACACCAGUAAACUAUAUCGGUAGAA